UACGUAGGGGGCAAGCGUUGUCCGGAUUUAUUGGGCGUAAAGAGCUCGUAGGCGGCUUGUCGCGUCGUCCGUGAAAACCUGCAGCUCAACUGCAGGCUUGCGGUCGAUACGGGCAGGCUAGAGUUCGGUAGGGGAGACUGGAAUUCCUGGUGUAGCGGUGAAAUGCGCAGAUAUCAGGAGGAACACCGGUGGCGAAGGCGGGUUGCUGGGCCGACACUGACGCUGAGGUGCGAAAGCCAGGGGAGCGAACGGG
rnacentral:rRNA from 1 species